rnacentral:rRNA from 1 species
GAAACCAACAGGGAUUGCCUCAGUAGCGGCGAGUGAAGCGGCAAAAGCUCAAAUUUGAAAUCUGGCGUCUUUGGCGUCCGAGUUGUAAUUUGAAGAAGGUAUCUUUGGGCCCGGCUCUUGUCUAUGUUCCUUGGAACAGGACGUCACAGAGGGUGAGAAUCCCGUGCGAUGAGAUGACCCGGGUCUGUGUAAAGUUCCUUCGACGAGUCGAGUUGUUUGGGAAUGCAGCUCUAAGUGGGUGGUAAAUUCCAUCUAAAGCUAAAUAUUGGCGAGAGACCGAUAGCGAACAAGUACAGUGAUGGAAAGAUGAAAAGAACUUUGAAAAGAGAGUGAAAAAGUACGUGAAAUUGUUGAAAGGGAAGGGCUUGAGAUCAGACUUGGUAUUUUGCAUGCUGCUCUCUCGGGGGCGGCCGCUGCGGUUUACCGGGCCAGCAUCGGUUUGGAGCGGCAGGAUAAUGGCGGAGGAAUGUGGCACGGCUUCUGCUGUGUGUUAUAG